UCAAACUUGGUCAUUUAGAGGAAGUAAAAGUCGUAACAAGGUUUCCGUAGGUGAACCUGCGGAAGGAUCAUUAUCGAGUUAGGGUCCUCACGGGGCCCGACCUCCCACCCUUUGUCUACCUAACCUUUUUGUUGCUUCGGCGGGCCCGUCCCCCUUCUGCGGAGGGGGCGACCGCCGGAGAGUUCACACUCUCUGGCCCGCGCCCGCCGGUGGCCCUCCAAAAACUCUUGCUAAAACGUGUCUUGUCUGAGUAAAGAUUAAUAAUCAAAAACUUUCAACAACGGAUCUCUUGGUUCUGGCAUCGAUGAAGAACGCAGC
rnacentral:misc_RNA from 1 species